ensembl:lncRNA
UCAGGUUGUAGGAGAAAGGCCUUUCAUUUCCUGUAUUGAUAAUCAACUGAAUAUGGACAAAUCAGAUAUCAGUUUUAAUCUGAGAGACAUGCUGGAAGAACAAAGUAAAAUACUAAUCACCAUCAUGAGGUCACAAACAAAAAAAUGUUUGUUAAAGCGUGCAGAGUUAAACUGCAGGAAUCACACUGUCCUGCAGUGGCUGAGAGAAAACUCAGAGUCCGUCACCUUCAACAAACUGGUGGAAGUGUUCAAUUUCCUGAAAAAACACAUGGAUGAAGAAGAGAAGAAGAACCACGGUGACCAUGUGGACAUCACCUUUGUGGCACAUGGAGCAAUCAGAGACUUCAUGAUCCCAGCCAGCUGUCUGCUGCCUCUGCCCACCAUCACUGACGUGGUGCUGUACGCUCCGUGGAACUGUAUCACCAGUGGUGCGGCAUAUGGCAUCGCUACAGGAAGAAUUCAACCUGAGCACAGAGUUUUUAAAUGCCGCAAAAACAAUGACUGUAAAACACCUGAUGAAAAACAUCGACCCAUAAAUCUGCCAAACCACUGGAACUCCAUGAAGAAGGCUGGAGACCAGAUGAUCCCAAACAUCACAGUCAGCCCUCUCCGAGCAGACGAUGGUGUGUGGGAAUAUUUCAAGUAUCUCACAGCAACACAUGGUGAACUAGGUUCAAAGCCACCUUCCACCUCAAUGCCUGUCUGGGUGACCACUCUGCUGGACAGAAAUUUGACAAAGACUAUCUGCAGAGGCAGUACGCCUACACGGUGGAUGGGACUUUGAUGACAUGUUCAUCUGACGCCUACAGAUCUUCACCUAAAAUAAACAAACACAUAGACGCCACUGAUGCCUGCAGAUUAUCUUAAUGGAUUUAACUUACAAUGCCAAUAUUACUUUAUCACAUUAUCAUGACAAACUAGUGAUCAACAGUCAUACUUUCAAAUUUAAGAUGUUUUACAGGAAAUGAAGUACAGUUUAAAAGAACAUGGGGACUUUUCAUUUCUCCAUAUAGCGAUAGCUCCCCCUGCUGGUGUGCAUGCAAAACUACUAUCUGACAUGUAAUGAAGUAGAUUAAUAAUUGUAUGGCAGCCAUUUACAGUAUGAGAACAUGCAGAUGUAUCUUUUUUUAUUUAUUCUUUUGGUGAAAUCAUUUUAUCGAAAAUCACAUUACUUGUAUAUUUUCCUAUGUUGAGAAAUGGGAUCGAUUCCGUUUAUAGUCUCACCUUUCUGCGUCAUCACUUCUCUGGACCAAUCAUCUUCUUGCCCCGACUUCCCCUUCCAACCAAUCCCUGACAGCUUCUCCUAUUUUUAAACCUCCAUCACGGCGUGUGGCGUGAUGGUGCGGGGGUUUCCUCACGCUGCUGUGGUUCUCAGUGACUCUCCAGUCGAUCCUCCUCACUCUGGUACUUAGCGGCUCUAACAUGAUGCUCACCCCUGCCAGCCUGCGGCCCACAUUAGGCCAGGUAAGCUAAUCAUGUUGAACAGAGUGAAGGAGUGUCCUGACCGUUUUCUUAAUUUUCAUGCUGUUAUUUUAGCACCAAGGUCUAAGUGCAUUACAUCCAAUUAUGUGUUUUCUCUUUUUGCUGGAAGAC